AAUAAGGAUAAAGUCACGUGGAACUCUGCUCCCGGAGCCAGGAACAUGGCAUCCCAGCAAAGAGCAUUCAGGCCUGAUGCUGAAGUGUCACAGAAAAGCCUUGUGAAAAUCUCAGCUGAGGAUAAAUGUGGUGGUUCUCAGCAGCAGGUGGGUCCAAUGGUAUCAAGCACCACAGCUGAAAUACUUGUGAAAAUUGGCCUGCUGUGUUUUCCUCUUCUGAUCAGCUUCUGGUAUCAACAUUUGUUGACCUCAGAGCAGCCUGAUUGCUUAGCUGGUGAAAGGGAUGAGCUGCUACACAAGAACAAAGAAGCCUGGGGGAUGCACUGCGUGACCUGGGAAGCUCUCUAAUGAUUUUGUAGGCAAGAUGAAAGCUGUCAGGUAAAAGGGUCUUUACCUUUCCCAGGAGAGCUCCUUUG
rnacentral:lncRNA from 1 species